UCUUUGAACGCACAUUGCGCCCCAUGGUAUUCCGUAGGGCACGUCUGUCUGAACGUCAUUA
rnacentral:rRNA from 1 species